GCCCUUUUUGUCGGAUUAUCGGAGCAAAGGAGAUGCAGUCUAUGCCGUGGAUGCCAACGUUUGGCUUUUUCAUCCAGCAAGAUCGUGUAGAAAUGAUUCGGGGAAUUCAGUACGAUUGUCAGGCUUCCGAAGAUGCUCCGGCUGCUGCUGGCGUUCUCCACGAAGGCCAUUCAAAGCUGUGUGGCAUUUGGAACAACUUGGUUUCUAAUUCUAAUUUAUAAUUUGAAAGAAGAAGCUUUACAGGAAGCAUCUACAAUUUAUAUAAGCAUCUACAGCUUUUCUUCUUCCCAACUGGGGAUUGGACUUCAAAAUUGGUCUUCAGAAGCAACUUGAAAGUCAGUCCAUUUUAUUCUAUGGCUAUGUCUUCAUGACACACACCAGUCUUGAGUCUCUCAGACCAUUUGGACAAUUCAGUGAAGACAAAGCAAACUGAUUGCUUGAAUGAAAGGGCUGAUUGGUUGAUUGAAACACCAAGUUCAUCAAAGUGGUUGAAAUAAUGGGUUCAGAUUCACCUAUGUCUGGCAGUCAGGAAGAACAAGAAAAUGGAACUGCAUUGAUCCUGAGGAUUUAAAGUGGGAAAAGACUUUCCGAUUCAUCUAGUUCAACACCUUCAUUUGACAGUUGAAGAAAGUGCAGAGAAGGAGUUUCAGAAGAGUUGUGAUGCAACAGGCAAAAUGUCAUCUUUGAAGAAGAGCAGAAGACCUCGUCAUCUAUAGAACAUUCUUCUUCAUCUUGGAGCCUGUGCUAGAUCCUGGAGCCCAGCAGUGCCCAAGACAUCACUGGCUCUGACCUCCGGAUCACACAGAGGAAGAAACCAAGGCCCAGAGAGAAGUUUGAUGAUUUGCCUUGGGCCGCCUACAUAG